AGCAUCUGAGAUGAAGUAGGAGGACCCGCUGAACUUAAGCAUAUCAGUA
rnacentral:rRNA from 1 species